UGGAGGCUGGCGGCGGACGGUGUUCUCGCCAACCCGGUCAGGUCCGGAAGGAAGCAGCCGUAACGAACGAUCCUCGGGUCGUCGUCCAGUCUCCACCU
rnacentral:SRP_RNA from 1 species